rnacentral:rRNA from 1 species
AGGACGAACGCUGGCGGCGUGCUUAACACAUGCAAGUCGAACGGUUUAUAAGGGCUUGCCCUUAUAGAUAGUGGCGAACGGGUGCGUAACACGUGAGCAACCUGCCCUUUGGACCGGGAUAACACCUCGAAAGGGGUGCUAAUACCGGGUGAGGUCUCCGGCCCGCAUGGGUUGGGGAGGAAAGGGGAAACCCGCCGAAGGAGGGGCUCGCGGCCCAUUAAUGGCGCACCAAGGCGACGAUGGGUAGCCGGCCUGAGAGGGUGAACGGCCACACUGGGACUGAGACACGGCCCAGACUCCUACGGGAGGCAGC